UCAAAAUUCAAAUUUAAGAUAUCGGGGUACUGCUACGAUACCGGGUAUUAACUUGAUCGCUGCUACGAUUCAAUAUCCGAUCAACUGAAACUAUCCAACAGGAUGUUUAAGUGUUAUCCUUUGUCAUUAAUCGUGAUUCCGACAGGAUGUUUGAGUGCCGCCCAAACUCGGGGUGGACUCUGUCAUUCGUUGUGAAUCCGAUGGAUGUUUAAGUGAUUUCAUUUUGUCAUUCGUCGUGAGGGUUUUAGUCUCGUGAAUUUAUCGUAAAUGCUGUUAUCAGGCUUAUCAUUAGACUAAACACUACCCCUUACACUUACAAUCAAAGUAGAUGCUAAUUCUCAAAACAAUCUGAAUCAUGAAGCUUGUCAAUUCAAUACUGCAUGUUUAUAAUGUGAGUCAUUCUCUUUUUAUCAACUGUUUUACUAUACUCCAAAUUAUUUUCAGAGUUAUAAUUACAGUGAUUAAGUUUAUGUAAUCACCAAAUUACAGCCGGUAUGUGGGGUAUUGUGCACAUUACUACUGUUGUUAUCACUUUAGGUGGGCGAACCUAAUUAGUGACAAAUACUGUGGGUAGUUGGUUUGAUAUUAGAAACAUUGUAAUCUCUCUUAAUACUGUAAAUUAUAACAAAUGUGUCGUUUUCAGUAAACUGAAUGAACUCACUCAGUAUUUUCCGCUGACAAAACCUUUUUAAAACGCGUUUCAGGUAAUUACAGUAGAUUGGAGUAAGAAUUGGAUCCGGCACUGAAGGACUUCAAGAAGUGGCUUAUUUUAUUAAUUAAAUCAACUUAAAAAAAAUAUUGUUUUUGGGUUUAUCCCGUAUUAAAAGCUACCUUUGUAAAACAUGGAAUUUAUUCCAUCUAUUUAAAUAAAAUCCGGUGU
rnacentral:lncRNA from 1 species